rnacentral:rRNA from 1 species
AUUGAACGCUGGCGGCAGGCUUAGCACAUGCAAGUCGAGCGGAGCGAGGGUGCUUGCACCUUAGCUUAGCGGCGGACGGGUGAGUAAUGCUUAGGAAUCUGCCUAUUAGUGUGGGACAACAUUCCGAAAGGAAUGCUAAUACCGCAUACGCCCUACGGGGGAAAGCAGGGGAUCUUCGGACCUUGCGCUAAUAGAUGAGCCUAAGUCGGAUUAGCUAGUUGGUGGGGUAAAGGCCUACCAAGGCGACGAUCUGUAGCGGGUCUGAGAGGAUGGUCCGCCACACUGGGACUGAGACACGGCCCAGACUCCUACGGGAGGCAGCGGUGGGGAAUAUUGGGCAAUGGGGGGAAGCCUGAUCCAGCCAUGCCGCGUGUGUGAAGAAGGCCUUUUGGUUGUAAAGCACUUUAAGCGAGGAGGAGGCUACUUAGAUUAAUACUCUGGGAUAGUGGACGUUACUCGCAGAAUAAGCACCGGCUAACUCUGUGCCAGCAGCCGCAGUAA